AAUCCAAUCAAAUGUGAUCCUCAAUGCCGACCGCUGUAAUUUGGAACUUCUUGUGAUCAGUGGUUCUUGUUCUAAAACUCCUUUCUCCAUGCUUCUGAAAUUUGCAUUCUGCUGAUAGUAUUUACUGCAUUUGCAUGAUUGGAGCACAAAAAUCCUCUGCUGGGAGACUGAGCAUCCAAUGGAUGUGGUGCAUGCCUAGGCCCUCCCGGCCGUUGGAUCCACCUGCAGUGGAUUUGCGUCCAUGGUUGGAAAUGAUAUUUGUUAUUUGUGUGUUUUAAGUUGGUUUUUCUUUUUGAAUUCUGGACACUAUAAGUGUCUGGUGCUGAUUAGAAACGAGAUCUGGCCCACGCAUUCGUUAAUGGUCCUGGAUCUCAGGUUUGGAACCAAUUAGUUUAUUGGUUUGUUUUAGUUUUGGUCCUGACUCCUUAUGACCUGACCGAUUGACCAAAACUGUACCAAUUUACACCCCUACUUACUACCGGUACCGGCACCUGCUGGCUGCUGCUAUUGGGCUGUCAAUUUGCUGUACUUUCCAAUUCCAAUAUAGCACUUGUAAGAACAACAGAUUCAUCCUCAUCUGGUUUAGGCCUUCUUCUUGUGUGCAUGAGAUACUGAUAUAUUUUUUUUUUUUCCAAUUUUUAGGGCAUAUUGGCCCUUACAUCGUAGACCCACAUAGGGGCUAAACACAGACCCACACAGACCCACAGAGGAGACAACAGGGGCCCAUGGCCACACUUCUUGGAAAGCAAAGAAAUUGGUGCAUAACUGCAUACCAAGCACCGAUGCACUUGUGAAGAGUUGAUCAAGUGAGCAACCUUCAGGCAACAACUCCACUAAGCACUGCAAACGGCCAAGCCAAGGCCCAGGGGAUGUGCCCUAGCACAGACAGUCAAUGUGGUUAUGAACCCAAACUACCCUGAAAGACCACAAUUUUCUGAUAUAUCUGAGGAAACUCUGCAUCUUUGCCAUGAGUCCGUGAGGAUUGAUAUUUCCAACAUCCAAGGUGAGCUCUUUAUCCCACAAUUGCAGUUUCUUGAUGAUUAUGGGGCCCAAGGUGUGAUUUGAGAAUUAUCCAGUUGUUAACGAGUUUUAGAGGAGAAUAAUGUUGUCUUCUUUCUUGAUAGGAGGGUUGUAUUCCCCUGUUUAUUGCUUUCAAGUCCUUAGAACAUCUAUGGUUGUAUAGCACUUUUUAAAAGUGAAUUAAAAGUAAUGAAUUCUUACGUCUCAUGGAUGUGUAGUUAAUUUUAUUUUUGUAUGUAUGGACUAUUGAGGCAAUUACAGGUAAAUUAUGGUUGUAAAUAAAGUUACUUUAUUUUUCCUCACAUAAAAUAAUUUCCCCAACAGAAGGCCUUUCUCUUGGCGACGGAAAAUCCUUUUUGGAUGUGGUUUUUUUCUCCGGCAAUGGCACCAUUCCCUCUGAAAGAAAGUCGAUCCAGGGGCACCGUCGUACUACAGAGCGUGACCUAGAAUAAAAUUCAUAUUCAUUUUGAUCCAGAACGGUUAGUUAUUGCUGCUGUAGGGAUACCGUUGUGGACAAUAACAACCAGUCCACAAGGCUCUUGGCAAUUAUAUCAUAUGUGGGUAGAGAAUUAGGUGACGUCCUUUUGACUGUUUGGUUCAAUGACUAUAUGGUUGUGGAAUUAUCUUCUUCCUUCCUCCCACAAUCGAUACAGAGCAGAUGCAGAGAUCAACUUCUUGACCCUGCGGCCUUCAGGUCAGGUUCGGCGAUUCUAAUCUUGAGUAUCUAUGCGGCUGGUGUUUGAUCACUGAGGAUUCCUUUGGUUCUCUUUCUUAGUACUGGUCCCAGAGUUGAAACCGAUCAUUUCCAAAUUCGCUUGCUCUGUGUUUGGCAGUCUUAAGGCUCUAGAUAGAUUGAUGUUGUCUUGUCUCUUCAAUGAGUAUUGUAAUGACGAUGAUGCUCUUGUUGCACUUGCUGCGAUUAAUAUUCUUCUCUUUUUA